UGACUAGUAACUCAGUGGGUAGAGUAUCCGACUGUUAAUCGGAUUGUCGCAGGUUCGAGUCCUGCCUAGUCAGCCA
rnacentral:tRNA from 2 species